ACAACCUUUCAAAUGGAACAUCUAAUACCGACAUACGUACCUACGGGUACAAAGCAGGGGACCUUCGGGCCUUGCGCUAUCNGAUGAGCCUAUGUCGGAUUAUACUAUCCGGUGGGGUAAUGGCUCACCAUCGCGACGAUCCGUUAGCUGGUCUGAUGAGGAUGAUCGGCCACACGGGAACUGAGACUCGGCCCAAACUCCUACUGGAUGCAGCAUGGGGGAAUAUUGGACAAUGGGCGACCGCCUGAUCCUGCCAUGCCGCGUGUGUGAAGAAGGUCUUCCGAUUGUAAACUACUUUAAGUUGGGAGGAAGGGCAGCAAACUAAUACCUUGCUGUUUUGACGUUACAGACCCAAUAAGCACCGGUUAACUCUGUGCCAGCACUCUCGNUGAUACGACGGUGCNGCGUUNUCGGAAUUACUGGGCGUAAACGCGCGUACGUGGUUUGCUNGUUGCAUGUGAAAGCCCCGGGCUCAACCUGGGAACUGCAUCCACACUGGCANCUNAGUACGGUAGAUGGGGCGGAAUUUCUGUGGACGNCGANUGCGUAGUAUCGAUGAACCCGAGGCCAAGGCCACCACUGUACUGAUACUGACACUGAGGUGCGNNAGCGUGGGGANCAAANCGAUUGAUACCCUGGUANCCACGCCGCAACGAUGUCAACUAGNCCUUGGAAUCCUUGAGAUUUCUGGCGCAUCUAACGCAUUCAGUUGACCCCUGUGAGUACGCCCGCAGGUAAAACCCAAUGAUUGACGNAGUNGCAAANGUNAGCUGUGAUAUUCAAUACAUAAACUUACAGCCUGACUGCGAUACUUCCGAAUGAUGUGCU
rnacentral:rRNA from 1 species